GACGAAGGAUGCAAGCGUUAUCCGGAUUUAUUGGGUUUAAAGGGUGCGUAGGCGGCCCUGUAAGUCAGUGGUGAAAUACUCCAGCUUAACUGAGAGGGUGCCAUUGAUACUGCAGAGCUUGAGUACAGAUGAGGUAGGCGGAAUUGACGGUGUAGCGGUGAAAUGCUUAGAUAUCGUCAAGAACACCUAUAGCGAAGGCAGCUUACUAGGCUGUAACUGACGCUGAGGCACGAAGGCCAGGGGAGCAAACGGG
rnacentral:rRNA from 1 species